rnacentral:rRNA from 1 species
CAAGUCGCGCGAGAAAGGGCUUCGGCCCCAGUAAAGCGGCGCACGGGUGAGUAACACGUAGGUCAUCUUCCCCUGAAUGGUGGAUAACUCUCCGAAAGGAAAGCUAAUACAGCAUAAGACCACGACCUCGCUGAGGUUGCGGCCAAAGCAGACCUCUUCAUGAAAGUUUGCGUUUAGGGAUGAGCCUGCGGCCCAUCAGCUAGUUGGUAGGGUAAUGGCCUACCAAGGCGAAGACGGGUAGCUGGUCUGAGAGGAUGAACAGCCACACUGGAACUGAGACACGGUCCAGACUCCUACGGGAGGCAGCAGUGGGGAAUCUUGCGCAAUGGGCGAAAGCCUGACGCAGCGACGCCGCGUGAGCGAUGAAGGCCUUCGGGUUGUAAAGCUCUGUGGGGAGGGAAGAAUAAGUCUUGGCUAAUAUCCAAGAUGAUGACGGUACCUCCUUAGCAAGCACCGGCUAACUCUGUGCCAGCAGCCGCAGUAAGACAGAGGGUGCAAACGUUGUUCGGAAUUACUGGGCGUAAAGCGCGUGUAGGCGGCCAUCUAAGUCGGGCGUGAAAUCCCACGGCUCAACCGUGGAAGUGCACUCGAAACUGGAUGGCUAGAGUCCUGGAGAGGAAGGUGGAAUGCUUGGUGUAGAGGUGAAAUUCGUAGAUAUCAAGCGGAACACCGGUGGCGAAGGCGGCCUUCUGGACAGUGACUGACGCUGAGACGCGAAAGCGUGGGGAGCAAACAGGAUUAGAUACCCUGGUAGUCCACGCCGUAAACGAUGAGUGCUAGGUGUCACGGGCUUUGACCCUCGUGGUGCCGAAGCUAACGCGUUAAGCACUCCGCCUGGGGAGUACGGCCGCAAGGCUAAAACUCAAAAGAAUUGACGGGGGCCCGCACAAGCGGUGGA